CUAGAUAUACGAGCAACAUACUCAAAUCGAUUUGGGAGGAGAGGGUCUUCUACCACCAUACUGCGAUGACUACCCAUUUGUGGAGUCUUUCGGAUGAAGGGAGUUCUAGACAAACCUUAUAGGCAAACAGAUUUCGCCUGAAGCAUGUCACAGGAUCUGCAGCACCAAGGAGCCAUCUCGAGUGCAAAUCCAAGAGGAGGAGGAUGAUCGAACAGGACCUAGGAUGGAUUUACGCUAUUUGGGUGGGAUUACGGC
rnacentral:lncRNA from 1 species